rnacentral:rRNA from 1 species
UACGAAGGGGGCUAGCGUUGCUCGGAAUCACUGGGCGUAAAGGGUACGUAGGCGGAUUGUUAAGUCAGGGGUGAAAUCCUGGAGCUCAACUCCAGAACUGCCUUUGAUACUGGCGAUCUUGAGUCCGGGAGAGGUGAGUGGAACUGCGAGUGUAGAGGUGAAAUUCGUAGAUAUUCGCAAGAACACCAGUGGCGAAGGCGGCUCACUGGCCCGGUACUGACGCUGAGGUGCGAAAGCGUGGGGAGCAAACAGG